ACGCUGGCGGCGUGCCUAAUACAUGCAAGUCGAGCGAACAGAUGAGAAGCUUGCUUCUCUGAUGUUAGCGGCGGACGGGUGAGUAACACGUGGGUAACCUACCUAUAAGACUGGGAUAACUCCGGGAAACCGGGGCUAAUACCGGAUAAUAUUUUGAACCGCAUGGUUCAAUAGUGAAAGACGGUUUCGGCUGUCACUUAUAGAUGGACCCGCGCCGUAUUAGCUAGUUGGUAAGGUAAUGGCUUACCAAGGCGACGAUACGUAGCCGACCUGAGAGGGUGAUCGGCCACACUGGAACUGAGACACGGUCCAGACUCCUACGGGAGGCAGCAGUAGGGAAUCUUCCGCAAUGGGCGAAAGCCUGACGGAGCAACGCCGCGUGAGUGAUGAAGGUCUUCGGAUCGUAAAACUCUGUUGUUAGGGAAGAACAAAUUUGUUAGUAACUGAACAAGUCUUGACGGUACCUAACCAGAAAGCCACGGCUAACUACGUGCCAGCAGCCGCGGUAAUACGUAGGUGGCAAGCGUUAUCCGGAAUUAUUGGGCGUAAAGCGCGCGUAGGCGGUUUCUUAAGUCUGAUGUGAAAGCCCACGGCUCAACCGUGGAGGGUCAUUGGAAACUGGGAAACUUGAGUGCAGAAGAGGAGAGUGGAAUUCCAUGUGUAGCGGUGAAAUGCGCAGAGAUAUGGAGGAACACCAGUGGCGAAGGCGGCUCUCUGGUCUGUAACUGACGCUGAUGUGCGAAAGCGUGGGGAUCAAACAGGAUUAGAUACCCUGGUAGUCCACGCCGUAAACGAUGAGUGCUAAGUGUUAGGGGGUUUCCGCCCCUUAGUGCUGCAGCUAACGCAUUAAGCACUCCGCCUGGGGAGUACGACCGCAAGGUUGAAACUCAAAGGAAUUGACGGGGACCCGCACAAGCGGUGGAGCAUGUGGGUUUAAUUCGAAGCAACGCGAGAACCUUACCAAAUCUUGACAUCCUUUGACCGCUCUAGAGAUAGAGUCUUCCCCUUCGGGGACAAAGUGACAGUGUGCAUGGGUGUCGUCAGCUCGUGUCGUGAGAUGUUGGGUUAAGUCCCGCACGAGCGCACCCUUCAAGCUAGUGCCAUCAUUAAGUUGGGGCACCUCCUACGUUGAC
rnacentral:rRNA from 1 species